rnacentral:rRNA from 1 species
AUGCCUCUGUACAUUGUGUCAGAUCGGGAUCAUAUCUUUACUAGCAAUUUUUGGCAAGCAUUGGUUAAGAAAACUGGGAUUGUUCUUAACAUGAGCACUGCAUAUCAUAUGGAGACUGAUGGCCAAACCGAACGAGUGAAUCAACAGGUUGAGUGUUUCCUAAGAUGCUUUAUCAGUGCCCACCAGAGCAAAUGGUCCAAAUGGCUUUCUCUAUGCGAGUUCUGGUACAAUACAAACUGGCAUUCAGCUCUGAACAAAUCACCAUUUGAAGUUCUUUAUGGGCAUAGCCCCAGGUAUUUUGGGAUAUCAGUUUCAGAUACAGUUGCUCCGGUUGAUUUGCAGCAAUGGUUGGAAGCUAGGGAAGUUGUGCAACAGUCGGUUUGUCAACACCUGUUGUGUGUGCAACGAUGA